ensembl:ncRNA T24D11.2 ncRNA
GGUGUGAUCGAAUGACUCAAAUGCCCUUGUCACCGCUUCUCCCCUUUUUUGUAUUUAUCAUCGGUUAAGGAAAGAAAGCAUGACCCUCAAAACCUGUAUGUUUUUAAUUCGUUUUCUCAGUUUUUUCAUGUUUCUUCGAAUGGCAUUA